rnacentral:rRNA from 1 species
GGCUCAGGAUGAACGCUGGCGGUCUGCUUAACACAUGCAAGUCGAACGGAGUACUUCGGUACUUAGUGGCGGACGGGUGAGUAACGCGUGAGAAUCUGCCCUUAGGACGGGGACAACGACUGGAAACGGUCGCUAAUACCCGAUGUGCCGCAAGGUGAAACCUAUUUGGCCUGAGGAUGAGCUCGCGUCUGAUUAGCUAGUUGGAGGGGUAAUGGCCCACCAAGGCGACGAUCAGUAGCUGGUCUGAGAGGAUGAUCAGCCACACUGGGACUGAGACACGGCCCAGACUCCUACGGGAGGCAGCAGUGGGGAAUUUUCCGCAAUGGGCGAAAGCCUGACGGAGCAAGACCGCGUGAGGGAAGAAGGUCUGUGGAUUGUAAACCUCUUUUGACAGGGAAGAAGUUCUGACGGUACCUGUCGAAUCAGCCUCGGCUAACUCCGUGCCAGCAGCCGCGGUAAUACGGAGGAGGCAAGCGUUAUCCGGAAUUAUUGGGCGUAAAGCGUCCGUAGGUGGUUUAGUAAGUCUGCUGUCAAAGCGCGGAGCUUAACUCCGUAAAGGUAGUGGAAACUACUAGGCUAGAGUGCGGUAGGGGCAGAGGGAAUUCCCAGUGUAGCGGUGAAAUGCGUAGAGAUUGGGAAGAACAUCGGUGGCGAAAGCGCUCUGCUGGGCCUGCACUGACACUGAGGGACGAAAGCUAGGGGAGCGAAAGGGAUUAGAUACCCCUGUAGUCCUAGCCGUAAACGAUGGAUACUAGGCGUUGCCCGUAUCGACCCGGGCAGUGCCGUAGCUAACGCGUUAAGUAUCCCGCCUGGGGAGUACGCUCGCAGAGUGAAA